rnacentral:rRNA from 1 species
GACGAACGCUGGCGGCGUGCCUAACACAUGCAAGUCAAAGGAAAGUAGCUUCGGUUAUGAGUACUUGGCGCAAGGGUGAGUAAGGCAUAGGUAAUCUGCCCUUUGGACUGGCAUAACCUCGAGAAAUCGAGGACAAUACCAGAUGAUGCAGCGGAACCGCAUGGUUAUGUUGUUAAAUGAUUUAUCGCCAAGGGAUGAGCCUAUGUUCCAUCAGGUAGUUGGUAGGGUAAAGGCCUACCAAGCCAACGACGGAUAGCUGGUCUGAGAGGAUGAUCAGCCACAUUGGAACUGAGACACGGUCCAGACUCCUACGGGAGGCAGCAGUGAGGAAUAUUGCGCAAUGGGCGAAAGCCUGACGCAGCAACGCCGCGUGGAUGAUGAAGUUCUUCGGAAUGUAAAAUCCUUUUGUCAGGGACGAACAUGUCGGUAUACCGACACUGACGGUACCUGACGAAUAAGCCACGGCUAACUCUGU